rnacentral:sRNA from 2 species
CGAGAACGCGUUGCCGCAGGCAACGACCCGAAGGGCGAAGCGCGCAGCGCUGAGUCAUCCUUCCCCCACCACCA